UUUGGACUUCUAGAAUUGGGUUGAACACUGAACAGUGUCUGGGCUGCAGGACAGAUUCUGACUUCUCUUUUGUUGCUAUAAUUUGAACUUGAAAACGACCUUUUUGAAUCUUGGACUCUUCAUGAAAGGUUUAGGCCUAUUUCUUAGCUUUCCAUC
rfam:Populus trichocarpa scaffold_20_contig_15, whole genome shotgun sequence.